rnacentral:lncRNA from 1 species
CUUUCCUUGAAAUUUCUCAUUGAUUUCUUUUUCAAAAACAAAACAAAAAAAAAACAUUCAAAAAAUCACAAAAUUCAAAAAUUUCAAAAUCAAAACAACCAAGCAACUUCAAAUUUCUGCCAUUGGUGUCUCGACCCUCUGCAGAGCAUUGGUCUAGCCUAAUUUAAUUUUUUUGCUAUUGGUGUCUUGGCCCUUUGCAAAGCAUUGGUCAAGCCUAAUUUUAUUUUUCUGCCAUUGGUGUCUCG